rnacentral:rRNA from 1 species
GAUGAACGCUGGCGGCGUGCCUAAUACAUGCAAGUCGAGCGAACUGAUUAGAAGCUUGCUUCUAUGACGUUAGCGGCGGACGGGUGAGUAACACGUGGGCAACCUGCCUGUAAGACUGGGAUAACUUCGGGAAACCGAAGCUAAUACCGGAUAGGAUCUUCUCCUUCAUGGGAGAUGAUUGAAAGAUGGUUUCGGCUAUCACUUACAGAUGGGCCCGCGGUGCAUUAGCUAGUUGGUGAGGUAACGGCUCACCAAGGCAACGAUGCAUAGCCGACCUGAGGGGGUGAUCGGCCACACUGGGACUGAGACACGGCCCAGACUCCUACGGGAGGCAGCAGUAGGGAAUCUUCCGCAAUGGACGAAGGUCCGACGGAGCAACGCCGCGUGAGUGAUGAAGGCUUUCGGGUCGUAAAACUCUGUUGUUAGGGAAGAAUAAGUACAAGAGUAACUGCUUGUACCUUGACGGUACCUAACCAGAAAGCCACGGCUAACUACGUGCCAGCAGCCGCCGUAAGAC